rnacentral:rRNA from 1 species
CGGUCGCAAGAUUAAAACUCAAAGGAAUUGACGGGGACCCGCACAAGCGGUGGAUUAUGUGGAUUAAUUCGAUGCAACGCGAAAAACCUUACCUACCCUUGACAUGCCAGGAACUUUCCAGAGAUGGAUUGGUGCUCGAAAGAGAACCUGGACACAGGUGCUGCAUGGCUGUCGUCAGCUCGUGUCGUGAGAUGUUGGGUUAAGUCCCGCAACGAGCGCAACCCUUGUUGUUAAUUGCCAUCAUUUAGUUGGGCACUUUAAUGAGACUGCCGGUGAUAAACCGGAGGAAGGUGGGGAUGACGUCAAGUCCUCAUGGCCCUUAUGGGUAGGGCUUCACACGUAAUACAAUGGCGCGUACAGAGGGUUGCCAACCCGCGAGGGGGAGCUAAUCUCAGAAAGCGCGUCGUAGUCCGGAUCGGAGUCUGCAACUCGACUCCGUGAAGUCGGAAUCGCUAGUAAUCGCGGAUCAGCAUGUCGCGGUGAAUACGUUCCCGGGUCUUGUACACACCGCCCGUCACACCAUGGGAGUGGGUUUCACCAGAAGCAGGUAGUCUAACCGCAAGGAGGGCGCUUGCCACGGUGAGGUUCAUGACUGGGGUG